UAGGGAAUCUUCCACAAUGGACGCAAGUCUGAUGGAGCAACGCCGCGUGAGUGAAGAAGGUUUUCGGAUCGUAAAGCUCUGUUGUUGGUGAAGAAGGAUAGAGGUAGUAACUGGCCUUUAUUUGACGGUAAUCAACCAGAAAGUCACGGCUAACUACGUGCCAGCAGCCGCGGUAAUACGUAGGUGGCAAGCGUUGUCCGGAUUUAUUGGGCGUAAAGCGAGCGCAGGCGGAAGAAUAAGUCUGAUGUGAAAGCCCUCGGCUUAACCGAGGAACUGCAUCGGAAACUGUUUUUCUUGAGUGCAGAAGAGGAGAGUGGAAUUCCGUGUGUAGCGGUGGAAUGCGUAGAUAUAUGGAAGAACACCAGUGGCGAAGGCGACUCUCUGGUCUGCAACUGACGCUGAGGCUCGAAAGCAUGGGUAGCGAACAGG
rnacentral:rRNA from 1 species